rnacentral:rRNA from 1 species
UGGGGAAUCUUGGACAAUGGGGGAAACCCUGAUCUAGCCAUGCCGCGUGAGUGACGAAGGCCCUAGGGUCGUAAAGCUCUUUCGCCAGGGAAGAUAAUGACGGUACCUGGUAAAGAAACCCCGGCUAACUCCGUGCCAGCAGCCGCGGUAAUACGGAGGAUGCAAGCGUUAUCCGGAAUAAUUGGGCGUAAAGCGUUCGUAGGUGGUUUUGUAAGUCUGCUGUUAAAGCGUGUAGCUUAACUACAUAUAGGCGGUGGAAACUACAAAACUAGAGUGCGUUCGGGGCAGAGGGAAUUCCUAGUGUAGCGGUGAAAUGCGUAGAGAUUAGGAAGAACACCGGUGGCGAAAGCGCUCUGCUAGGCCGCAACUGACACUGAGGGACGAAAGCUAGGGGAGCGAAUGGGAUUAGAUACCCCUGUAGUCC